UACGAAGGGGGCUAGCGUUGCUCGGAAUUACUGGGCGUAAAGCGCACGUAGGCGGAUUGUUAAGUCGGGGGUGAAAUCCUGGAGCUCAACUCCAGAACUGCCUUCGAUACUGGCGAUCUCGAGUUCGGGAGAGGUGAGUGGAACUGCGAGUGUAGAGGUGAAAUUCGUAGAUAUUCGCAAGAACACCAGUGGCGAAGGCGGCUCACUGGCCCGAUACUGACGCUGAGGAGCGAAAGCCAGGGGGAGCAAAACGGGG
rnacentral:rRNA from 1 species